rnacentral:rRNA from 1 species
CCUACGGGUGGCUGCAGUGGGGAAUAUUGCACAAUGGGGGAAACCCUGAUGCAGCGACGCCGCGUGAGUGAAGAAGGAUUUCGGUAUGUAAAGCUCUAUCAGCAGGGAAGAGAAUGACGGUACCUGAGUAAGAAGCCCCGGCUAACUACGUGCCAGCAGCCGCGGUAAUACGUAGGGGGCAAGCGUUAUCCGGAUUUACUGGGUGUAAAGGGAGCGUAGGCGGCGAAGAAAGUCUGAAGUGAAAGCCCGGGGCUCAACCGCGGAACUGCUUUGGAAACUUUUGUGCUGGAGUACGGGAGAGGUAAGCGGAAUUCGUAGUGUAGCGGUGAAAUGCGUAGAUAUUAGGAGGAACACCAGUGGCGAAGGCGGCUUACUGGACGGUAACUGACGUUGAGGCUCGAAAGCGUGGGGAGCAAACAGGAUUAGAUACCCUAGUAGUC